UGGGGAAUAUUGCACAAUGGAGGGAACUCUGAUGCAGCGACGCCGCGUGAACGAAGAAGGCUCUCGAGUCGUAAAGUUCUUUUAUAUGGGAAGAUAAUGACGGUACCAUAAGAAGAAGCCCCGGCUAACUACGUGCCAGCAGCCGCGGUAAUACGUAGGGGGCUAGCGUUGUCCGGAAUCACUGGGCGUAAAGGGUUCGCAGGCGGAAAUGCAAGUCAGGUGUAAAAGGCAGUAGCUUAACUACUGUAAGCAUUUGAAACUGCAUAUCUUGAGAAGAGUAGAGGUAAGUGGAAUUUUUAGUGUAGCGGUGAAAUGCGUAGAUAUUAAAAAGAAUACCGGUGGCGAAGGCGACUUACUGGGCUCAUUCUGACGCUGAGGAACGAAAGCGUGGGUAGCAAACAGG
rnacentral:rRNA from 1 species